UAAUAGUAGCACUCAAAAAAUACAAAAGCAACUAGCGGAUGCCUAGGCACAAGUAAAUAAAAGAGACGUGUAUUAAACGAAAAGCUUGUUCGUCGUAGAUAGACGAAAGAUUUCUCUAUAGAAAACUAAAAACGUUAUAAAACUUUAAAUGGAAACUUCCUAAAAAAGAAAGAUAUCAACAGAUAAACCGAAAGUAGUAGCGAGCGAAAUUGGUAAAUAUACAGAAAGCGUUGUACAAAAAAAACUAUAAACAUUAUACUACAUAUUUGUAUUAGAUAAAUAUUGUGGGGUUUAUAUCCGACUAUGGUCGGUACGAUUUAGCUUGAAUUCAAUGGAUAGAGUGCCAAAGUAGGUGAAAGCCCAAAAAUAGCUUAAAUCUUUUACGUAAAAACAACAAAAAAAUAACAAUUAUUGGUGAACCACCAUCAACAAACAAAUAAAUACUUAGUGACCGAUAGUGCAAUAGUACUUUGUAGGAAAGGCUGAAAAGAUGGUUUUAAACCUAGUGAAAUAGAAUACAUGAAACUAGUUGCUAGCAAACAGUUGAAGCUUUAAACAUCGCGUAACGCGAAACGUAAAAAGUGACGACGUACUUUUUGCAUAAUGGGUCAGCGAGUUCAUGAUCAGAGCGUUAAGCUUAAGACAUAAUGCGUAGG
rnacentral:rRNA from 1 species